GACGAACGCUGGCGGCGCGCCUAACACAUGCAAGUCGAACGGAGCUGAGACAAGCUUGCUUUUCUUAGCUUAGUGGCCAACGUGUGAGUAACGCCUGAGUAACCUGCCCUGGAGCGGGGGACAACAGUUGGAAACGACUGCUAAUACCGCAUAACACCACGAUCCGGCAUCGGAUUGAGGGAAAAGGAUUUAUUCGCUUCAGGAUGGACUACAGUCCAAUUAGCUAGUUGGUGAGGUAACGGCCCACCAAGGCGACGAUUGGUAGCCGGACUGAGAGGUUGAACGGCCACAUUGGGACUGAAGCACGGCCCAGACUCCUACGGGAGGCAGCAGUGGGGGAUAUUGCACAAUGGGGGAAACCCUGAUGCAGCGACGCCGCGUGGAGGAAGAAGGUUUUCGGAUUGUAAACUCCUGUCGUUAGGGACGAUAAUGACGGUACCUAACAAGAAAGCACCGGCUAACUACGUG
rnacentral:rRNA from 1 species